ensembl:lncRNA
GAUGAUGAUGAUGAUGGACAACAUGCCGGUCUCAUACUGCUGCUGAAGUGUCCGAGCGGCCAGGGAGGACCGGGUCCGGCUUCUUCUUUCGGACAACUUGAACUACAUAUUUAAUAUGACUUUAUUAUUACGAGGAAUGGAAAUAAGUGCUAGCAGAAAGUUCCGUGUAGACAGCAGCUUAUCUCAUAGCUUUGUUGAUUGUUUUAAUUGUAUCUGUCAUUCGUACAGGUUCUCAGAUGUGAUAACUUGACACUUUUCUUGAAAUGAGAAUAAACAUUUAAUGUUCAAGGCAUUUAUCACAUGUUAUGGUACUACGGUGGGAUAUUAUGGUUAUGACUCUACGGCUCUGACCGUAACAACACUUGCACCUGCAGCUCCAAAACACAACAUGCCGCCUCAAACCAUUCUCCUCACCCCCUUUAACGCGACGCCCUGCAGCGACACAUUUUCCGACGCUAGUGGAAGUGCGCCCACCGGUGCGUGCGUGUACGUGCGUGUGUCUGCGGUCUUGUGGAUUUCAAAACUAAAUGCCCCUCCAUUCAGAGCGUUACGGUAAACGGGCUAAUUGUGCUGGAAGUGUCACCCCCCUUUAAACCAGAUCCAUAAAAGGUUUCACUCUAUUUUCACUUGAUGCAUGUUAUGCUCCUCUAUGCACAUCUAUAUUUCCAUGAUACUGAUAUAGAGUGUUUGAGAAAAUUAAAUGCAGUCAGUAAAAAUGAUAAUCUUUGAAUUGAUUUUAAAUCAAUAUUUUUUACAUAUUUUAUUAUAUUUUAAACAAUAUCCAAAACUGUACAGUAAAGUCAGCUCAGUGGGUCCAUUGUCAAUGCAGAACACAGGAUGUCCGAUGCGAUACGUGGCCCCCGUCGGGCCCUUUUCCCCCCUCUGGCGCACUUACCCAUCACCCACCGGGGCCGGGGUGGUCACCCACCGAGACAGCAUGUGCGGAUGUGGCGGCCAGUGCCUUCUGGUCGCUGUGCUGACCGCGUUAAGUGUGCUCCGGUUCCUUAGGUGCUGCUCCAGCGGGGGUCCGAAUGUGGCCGCUGGGGGUUGGCACGGGUUACGCUGGGAAACGGGGAGUAUGGGUGACCGCUUAGACACACAAGGGACACGCAGACGCAAGGGGCUCUGGCGUGUGAAACUUACUGUUUGGAAGACAGACAACAGCGUCUCGCAUUCACCGGGCUCUAAGGGAGCCCCUGGUAAAGUUCUGACAUUGAUCUGA